rnacentral:hammerhead_ribozyme from 1 species
AUCCAGUUGAGGAGUCACAAACAGGACGAAACGCGCGUCAAACUGGAU